UACGAAGGGGGCUAGCGUUGCUCGGAAUCACUGGGCGUAAAGGGCGCGUAGGCGGAUCUUUAAGUCAGGGGUGAAAUCCUGGAGCUCAACUCCAGAACUGCCUUCGAUACUGGCGAUCUUGAGUCCGGAAGAGGUGAGUGGAACUCCUAGUGUAGAGGUGGAAUUCGUAGAUAUUAGGAAGAACACCAGUGGCGAAGGCGGCUCACUGGUCCGGUACUGACGCUGAGGUGCGAAAGCGUGGGGAGCAAACAGG
rnacentral:rRNA from 1 species